UAGCUAGUUGGUAGGGUAGAGGCCUACCAAGGCGACGAUCGGUAGCUGGUCUGAGAGGAUGGCCAGCCACACUGGAACUGAGACACGGUCCAGACUCCUACGGGAGGCAGCAGUGGGGAAUAUUGGACAAUGGGGGCAACCCUGAUCCAGCAAUGCCGCGUGUGUGAAGAAGGCCUGAGGGUUGUAAAGCACUUUCAGUGGGGAGGAGGGUUGAUUGGUUAAGAGCUGGUUAAUUGGACGUUACCCACAGAAGAAGCACCGGCUAACUCCGUGCCAGCAGCCGCGGUAAUACGGAGGGUGCGAGCGUUAAUCGGAAUUACUGGGCGUAAAGGGUGCGUAGGUGGUUUAUUAAGUUAUGUGUAAAAUCCCUGGGCUCAACCUGGGCAGGUCAUAUAAUACUGGUAGACUCGAGUAUGGGAGAGGGUAGUGGAAUUUCCGGUGUAGCGGUGAAAUGCGUAGAGAUCGGAAGGAACACCAGUGGCGAAGGCGGCUACCUGGCCCAAUACUGACACUGAGGCACGAAAGCGUGGGGAGCAAACAGGAUUAGAUACCCUGGUAGUCCACGCUGUAAACGAUGUCAACUAGCUGUUGGUUAUAUGAAUAUAAUUAGUGGCGC
rnacentral:rRNA from 1 species